rnacentral:rRNA from 1 species
UACGAAGGGGGCUAGCGUUGUUCGGAAUUACUGGGCGUAAAGCGUAUGCAGGCGGAUCGUUAAGUCGGGGGUGAAAUCCCGAGGCUCAACCUCGGAACUGCCUUCGAUACUGGCGACCUUCGAGUCCGGGAGAGGUGAGAGGAACUCCGAGUGUAGAGGUGAAAUUCGUAGAUAUUCGGAAGAACACCAGUGGCGAAGGCGGCUCACUGGCCCGGUACUGACGCUGAGAUACGAAAGCGUGGGGAGCAAACAGG